rnacentral:rRNA from 1 species
ACGCUCGACACCUACAGGAGGCAGCAGUGGGGAAUAUUGCACAAUGGGGGAAACCCUGAUGCAGCGACGCCGCGUGAGCGAAGAAGUAUUUCGGUAUGUAAAGCUCUAUCAGCAGGGAAGAUAAUGACGGUACCUGACUAAGAAGCUCCGGCUAAAUACGUGCCAGCAGCCGUGGUAAUCUGAGCGGGCUGGCAAGGC